GGCUUCGUAGCUCAGCUAGUAGGGCGCCGGUAAUGUUUGGGCACGUUGCAUUUGUCGCCGAUUCGAAUUCGGUCGAAGCCC